rnacentral:tRNA from 1 species
UUCUUUAUUGGCGGAAAAUCGCAUUAAACUUAGAAUUUAAUCAACCCACUA